rnacentral:rRNA from 2 species
UUCAUCUUUAUUAGGUUUAAAGGGUACCUAGACGGUUCAUCUAGUCUGUAUAAAGGUAACGGAUUGAACUAGAGUUAUAUGGGAAAGGCUCAUUUGGAAUUGAAAGAGGAGAGAUAUAAUUUUUUUAUACUUUCAAGACUGACAAUGGUGAAAACAAUCCUUUAUGUAAUAACUGACGUUAAGGGACGAAGGCAUGGUGAUCGAAUAGGAUUAGAUACCCUAGUAGUCCAUGCAGAAAAUGAUGAAUGUCAUAAAUAUUUUAGAUUAUUUCAAAUGUUGAAUUAAUUAGGUGUUUAUAAAUGAAAGUGUAAACAUUCCACCUCAAGAGUACUACGGCAACGUAUAAACUGAAAUCAUUAGACCGUUUCUGAAACCAGUAGUGAAGUAUGUUAUUUAAUUCGAUAACCCUCGAAAAACCUUACCUCAAUUUGAAUAUUUGAAAAAAAAAAUGUUUACUAAAUUCAGUGAUGAAUCUAGUAAACUUACAAGCGUUGCACGGCUGUCUUCAGUUAAUAUCGUGAGAUUUGGUUAACCC